AUUAGCUAGCCAAUGACUCCAUCUCAAGGAUUGUUGACAUUUUUUAUGGCACCAUGUUGUCGCAUAUCUUGUAAAUAAAAGAGUGCACAAAUAAAGGAAAUGGAACAUUAUAUUACUGAUAGUAGAAACAUAAAAGAUAAAAUCAAGAACACUGAUACAACUCGGCAAUCAUGCAACAGGCUGCACCCGAGCCCAUGUUGACGAACUCAAUAUCGAGAGGCAUCGCACAUGAUGAAGCAGCACAAAGGUUGUCACAUCCCUAGUUCUUGUAUGACCUAGACUAGCUAGUCAUGUGUGCAUCAUGUUUAAAUUUCAAUGAAUUUGAAAUGGGGACAUGUGAAAGCCUCAGAAAUCAUUUCUGAAAAUGACCAAGAUAAAAAUUUCUUCAAAUAGGUCCAAGAAAAUGUUCAUGUUUCUCCCUGAAUAUAUUGGCCAGAGGUAAAAUUCAAACCAAUAAUUUUAGGAGCUCAUAAAUAUUUAUGUUGGGCAUUUGGAUUUAAUGCAACAACUAUUUUGCAUUGGAUUUAUAUUUGCUAUAUAUUUAAAAUAAGUCCAAUAAUUCUGUAAAUUUGUGUGGGGCUCUGGAAUAGCUCAACUAGCCCACACAAUAUUUAUCAGAAGCAGUAAAUUUGAUUUGGUUUGAAAACUAAAUCAAAAACAAAUUACAGAAAAUAGAAAACAAACAAAAAAUAUAAAACAGAGCACAAGGACUUACCUCCACCCACCUACGGCCCGCUACUGUAGCCUGCUGGCAGCCCAGCUGGCGGCCCAGCCCACCAGCGCCCCCUUGUCAUCUUCCUCCUCUGCCAGGAGGACAACCAGGUGCGUGGCGAGUGUCGACGCUGCUCUGGCCACCUCCUGCUUCCCCGGCCCCUUCUAGCGACGCCACGGAGAUGCCCCGAAGCCCCUGUCCCCUCUCCCUCACUCGCCGCUCUCUCUCCCCUCCACUGGCUCUCUCCCUUUAGCUCACUCGAGCGAAGCAGUCGCCGCCGACCAGCGCUCGUGCGGCCACAGCCACCCCCUUGCUCCCCUGAUGCGUCCGAGAGCUCUGCCACGUCGUCCUCAUCUUCUUCACUGAGUCACAGGAGCUGGGUCGCCCUGUGAUGCCGCCAACAUCAUCUUCUUCCUCACCGGUCGCUGGAGAUCCUCCUUGCCGCCCCGACUGCUCCGGACCGUCUCCGAGCUCGCUGACCUCCUCGUCUGACUAGCCGUGAGCCUCUGACCCUGCCCAUCCCUCUCUUCUUCCCUAUAGGCCUCUGUAGCCACCGGACCGCAUACGCCCGAACCCGCCGCCGCCUGCGCUCGCCGCCGACGCGACUCCGACGACCAAAUGGUCCGCCCGACACGUCCAACCCACUCACCGCAUCGCGUAGGCCCCCGCUAGCACCUCAGCUCACUAGCUCGCGCACUGUAGCACUGCCCGCACCCACGCCUGAACUCCGGUGGCUGCAACCGAGCUCGCCGUCGUCGGCUCCGGCCACCAUAGGCCCGGUCUCCACCAUCACCCGAUGGGCGCCUGCAAGAGCUCUCCAACGAGCCCAAGAACGGCCUCGUCCGUGCCCUGUGGGCGUUUUCCGAGCCGCGUCGCCGUCUCGGGCCUCGCCGGCGUCGAGUCGUCGGUAGGUUUGACCUGUUCGACUGGGGUUUGACCUCCCUAGGGUCAACACACGUGGGCCCCGCCCUGACUAGAUUAGUUUAGGACUAAUUACCUCACCGCUGACUCUGACAGUGGGCCCAGUGGUUGUUAAUUUGAUUAGUUAGAUUUAAUUAACCCUGUUAGUUAAUUGUGUCACUGACGUGUCGACCCCACUGGUCAGGUUUGACCUGGACCGGGUCAGUUGACCUGCUGACAUCACAGUGACGUAGUGCUGACACCAUAACUCAUUUUCUGGAUUAAUUAUAAUUCAUAAAAUUCCAGAAAAUAGUUAAAACUUCUAAAAUUCAUAGUAAAUCAACCGUAGCUCCAAAUCAAAUAAAUUAUAUAUGAAAAAUGAUCAGAAAAAUCCAAUAUAUCCAUUUGUACUAGUUUCAUGCAUGUUGGAACAACUUAUGGCUGCUGUUUAGGCCAAAUCAUAUAAAUGGCAUUUAAACCCUCACAUAUGGAGUUUGAAUUUGAACCUAAGAUUCAAACCAACUCCAUUUAACAUGUUCCUAGUUACAUUAGCUCAAAACACAGCAUAUUGACAUGCCAUGAUCAUGCAUCAUAUUGUGCAUUGCAUUGAUUGUGUUUUCCUUCUUUGUUGCCGGUAUUUGUCCCCUCUCGAUAGACGUGGUUCCGACGAUGAGUUCGAUGACACUGAUGAAGAGAUAUACUAUCUUCGGAAGUGGCAGGCAAGCAAAACCCCCCUUGUUCAUUCCGAUACAAUCCCACUUUCUCGUUCCUUCUCUCUUUUACUGCAUUAGGACAACAACGAUUCAUCUGUUACUUGCUGCGGUAGUUGAACCCCUUAUCCUCUACAUGACCUGUCAUUUCCACAGUAAAUAGAUGAAACCCACUAGCAUGAGUAGGAGUUGUUUGAGCCCUGAUGUGCCUACUCAUUCAUGCUUGUUUGUCAUGCCUGCUAUUGGUUAGAGUUGUGUCAGGUCUGAUUCAUCGGGGAUGAAUUGGAAAGUUGUGAACAUGUCCUACUGUGUGUGAGCUAAGUGUGUUGAACACGAUUUGGUAAAGGUAUCGAUGAGAGGCCAUGUAGGAGUACAUGGUGGGUUGUUUCAUUGAAGCCGUCCUUAGGAACUGAGUUCUGUGUUUGUGAUCCAUGAAACAACUACUACCACACAUUGGGCCCUGAAAUAUGACCCCGCUCGACUUACUGACCCCUCUCGUCCUUUGUCCAGGAGUUGCAACUAGUUUCUGGUGUUUAUAGGAUAUGUGUUGGCGGCCGUGCGUAGCACUGACCCUAGGGGUGGGCUAUGAUGCGGUAGAUACACCAUGGCACGGUGUACCGGGCGCCCAUUUGGUGUCUCGGGAACCCUGCACACAUCGUUUGGGGCUGUGAGCGAAACUCCGGUCGGAUCUCCUCGCAGAUGGAACCCGAAUAGGCGAUAAACCUGGACUAGAGACUUGUGCGGUUAGUCAGGUCGUGGUCUACACCCACGUCGGCUUUCGCUUGAAGUCUGCCGAGCACAUGUCAUGUGGAGACACUAAGUGGUGGAAACAUGUGUGACGAAGUACACCCCUGCAGGAUAUAAAACUAUUCGAAUAGCCGCGUCCGCGGUAAAGGACUUCUGGGUUGCCUAUAACAGUUCAUAGACAAGUGAAAGUGGAUACUCUAAAACUCGCAAGAUAAGUGUGAGUGUUAUGGAUGGCCUUCUCGUAGGGAGACGGGAGCAGAUCCAUAGUGGUGUAUUGAAUGGUGAAUAUGUGGACUCGUGUGCGCCACCUCAAAAGCGUUGCUGGCAGUCGUAGUUCCGGUUAGCCACUGAGUCAAAGCUGGCUUGGUGCAGUUAAACUCCACCACCGCCCACCUCCCUUGUUGAUACCGAUGCAUAUGUAGCUAGUUCUGAUGUAAGUCUUGCUGAGUACUUUUGUACUCACAUUUUCUUAAUUUAUGUUUUGCAGAGAGACUUCAGUCUCGCUAGUAGUAUCGCAUGGACUUCGACGUUUAGCCUGAUACCUCAGCUACGAUCUUGUGCCCUCGGUAGGAUCUGGUAGAUAGUCAGGCUUCUCAACCUUUUUCAUUUGUAGAUGUCUGAACUCAGACAUGUUAAGCUUCUGCAUGUGCUUGAAUUGUAUGCUAUGAUUGUUGGGUCAUGAGACCCAUGUUUGUAAUAUCUCGCUCCUUAGAGCCUAAUGAAUAAAUACUUGAGUCGUAGAGUUAUGUUGUGAUGCCAUGUUGUAUUUACACAUAUCGAGCAUAUUGUGUGUAUGAUUGAAAUGCUCGGAAUGUGUGGGAUCCGACAAUCUAGUUGUUUAUCCUUGGCAGCCUCUCUUAUGGGGAAAUGUAGUCUAGUGCUUCCAUGAGCCAUAGUAGUCCGCUACAGCCCGGUUCACCGGAGUCCUGCUAGCCCAGCACUACUUCUCAGGACACUUGACUGGCCGGCAUGUGUUUCACUUCGUUCCUAUGUAUGUCCCUUCGGGGAAAUGUCACGUGGUGACUUCCGGAGUCUUGCCUAGCCUGCUACAGCCCGGGUUCCCCGGAGUCCUGUUAGCCCGGUGCUACAGCCCGGAUUCACUCGCUGAUGACCGACAUGCUUGAUGUGAUUCAUGUAUGCCUGUCCCCAUACGUCUGUGCCGCUUUGGUUCACGACUAGCUAUGUUGGCCCGGGUUCUCUGUCAUAUGGAUGCUAGCGACACUAUCAUAUACGUGAGCCAAAAGGCGCAAACGGUCCCGGGCCAUGGUAAUGCGACACUCGUGGGGAUACCGUGCGUGAGGCCGCAAUGUGAUAUGAGGUGUUACUGGCUAGAUCGAUGUGACUUGGAAUCGGGGUCCUGACAGCGUUGGUAUCAGAGCCUGACUGCCUGUAGGAUUACCAAGCCAAACUGGUCGAAGUUGAGUCUAGAAAUGCUUUAGUUAUGUAAGGGAAUUGAUUGUGGAAGGGAACGUGAGGCUCUUUUUACUCCUUUACCUUAUGCCCUUCUGAUCUGAGUCAACCUCUUCUUUUCUACGGGGGUUAAGAACUAGGCUUCCCUUCUAUCUCUCAGGAUGACGUGUUACUAAACCGUAGUUGCCUAGGAUUGUUGAGUUCAAGCCUCAGUUCAGUUCCUACUACUUUCAUAUGUCAUAGCUGGCCUCAGAACUUUGAUAUUGUGAUGUUGAGUGGUCAUGCCACCAUUUUGCAGGAUGUCUCAAAUCAUUUUGAGCAUUUACAGCCGUUAUGGUGUCCGAGUCAUCCUAGGUUUCUAGAUAGUCUGAUGCACUUGCAAAUCUUUCCUCCAUGUCCCCGUUGUAUUUUUGGGCCAGAUUAAGCACACUAAUCGGUGUGUUGAGGUACUCCGUUGCCUUGACGUGUAUGUCAGAGUUAUUAUUAUGACCCUAGGUGUUUCAGGGAGUCACCUAGUGAUCUAGCCAUGUUUUGUAUCCCCAGUGUGUGAUUCUGGCCAUUAUUCUCGAAAGCCUCCCGUGAUGCCAUGUAGUGGUAGGUAUUCUAUUCAUGGGUUCUUGAACCCGAGAUUCACCCUACUUACCUCAUGUUGAUAGUGUUUGAUAGUUCCUUUAGGAUAUUAGUAACCUUUGCGAUAGUCCUCGAGGUCUAUGGUACAACGUUAUUCCAAUACAAUGAACCAAUAUGGCAGGAGUUCUCUUGAACCAAAAGAUCACAACAUGAGUGCUCUUGAUGAGUUCUCCAUUUUAUAUUGUGACUCUGCCAGCUCAACCUUUCUGCAUGGGUUAUCCGGAAGAAAUAUGUUGAACUUGGUUCGACAUGCUAAUCUAUGCAUCCACAACUCAGAAAGUUAUAUGUUCUUUGAGUUAUCCCUCUUUAGUUGUCUUUUGACCUCGUCUAUCAAUUGAUAGUCAUGAGUGGUUGUGCAUUCGUGUUCAUGGUGCUUACUACUCUUGUGGUCCGUCAAGCCAUUUUGUUCGGAAUGACUAGGAGAAACAAACUCCAGUACCUCAUCCGUAUCCAGGAUUGGGUCAAAGUAGUUGUAUUCCGCAGAUCAGAAUGCAAUCAAGCUUUUGGUCUGUUCUACCCUGAGGUAUUACCUGUUGGGGAACGUAGCAGAAAUUCAAAAUUUUCCUACGUGUCACCAAGAUCUAUCUAUGGAGAGACCAGCAACGAGUAGAAAGAGAGUGCAUAUACAUACCCUUGUAGAUCGCUAAGCGGAAGCGUUCAAGUGAACGGGGUUGAUGGAGUCGUACUCGUCGUGAUUCAAAUCACCGAUGAUCCUAGUGCCGAACGGACGACACCUCCGCGUUCAACACACGUACAGCCCGGUGACGUCUCCCACGCCUUGAUCCAGCAAGGAGAGAGGGAGAGGUUGAGGAAGACUCCAUCCAACAGCAGCACAACGGCGUGGUGGUGGUGGAGGAGCGUGGCAAUCCAGCAGGGCUUCGCCAAGCACCAUGGGAGAGGAGGAGUAGGAAGAGAGGUAGGGCUGUGCCAGAACUUCGUGUUUAGCUCCCAUGCGCCUCCCCUCUAUAUAUAGGGGUGGAGGGGCUGGUUUCUUGCCCUCCAAGUCCAUUGGGGCGUUGGCCAAGGUGGGAGGAAAGAAAUCUCAUUAUUUCCUUCCCCACCGAUUGUUAUCCCCCCUUUUUAGGGAUCUUGAUCUUAUCCCAUCGGGAUAUGAUCUUAUUCCUUCUAAGGGGGAUCUUGGUGCGCCUUGACCAGGGGUGUGGGGCCUUGCCCCCACUACCCACGUCCAUGUGGGUCCCCCCAUGCAGGUGGGCCCCACUCCAGAACCUUCUAGAACCUUCCCGGUACAAUACCGAAAAAUCCCGAACAUUUUCCGGUGGCCAAAAUAGGACUUCCCAUAUAUAUAUCUUUACCUCCGGACCAUUCCGGAACUCCUCGUGACGUCCGGGAUCUCAUCCGGGACUCCGAACAACAUUCGGUAACCACAUACAAACUUCCUUUAUAACCCUAGCGUCAUCGAACCUUAAGUGUGUAGACCCUACGGGUUCGGGAGACAUGUAGACAUGACCGAGACGUUCUCCGGUCAAUAACCAACAGCGCGAUCUGGAUACCCAUGAUGGCUCCCACAUGUUCCACGAUGAUCUCAUCGGAUGAACCAUGAUGUCAAGGACUUAAUCAAUCCCGUAUUCAAUUCCCUUUGUCUAUCGGUAUGUUACUUGCCCGAGAUUCGAUCGUCGGUAUCCAAUACCUUGUUCAAUCUCGUUACCGGCAAGUCACUUUACUCGUUCCGUAACACAUCAUCCCGUGAUCAACUCCUUGGUCACAUUGCGCAUAUGAUGAUGUCCUACCGAGUGGGCCCAGAGAUACCUCUCCGUUUACACGGAGUGACAAAUCCCAGUCUCGAUCCGCAUAAAACAAUAGAUACUUUCGGAGAUACCUGUAGUGCACCUUUAUAGUCACCCAGUUACGUUGUGACGUUUGAUACACCCAAAGCACUCCUACGGUAUCCAGGAUUUACACGCACUCAUGGUCGAAGGAAGAGAUACUUGACAUUGGCAAAGCUCUAGCAAAUGAACUACACGAUCUUUUGUGCUAGUCUUAGGAUUGGGUCUUGUCCAUCACAUCAUUCUCCUAAUGAUGUGAUCCCGUUAUCAACGACAUCCAAUGUCCAUAGCCAGGAAACCAUGACUAUCUGUUGAUCACAACGAGCUAGUCAACUAGAGGCUCACUAGGGACAUAUUGUGGUCUAUGUAUUCACACGUGUAUUACGAUUUCCGGAUAAUACAGUUAUAGCAUGAAUAAAAGACAAUUAUCAUGAACAAGGAAAUAUAAUAAUAAUACUUUUAUUAUUGCCUCUAGGGCAUAUUUCCAACAGUCUCCCACUUGCACUAGAGUCAAUAAUCUAGUUCACAUCGCCAUGUGAUUAACACUCACAGGUCACAUCGCCAUGUGACUAAUACCCAAGAGUUUACUAGAGUCAGUAGUCUAGUUCACAUCACUAUGUGAUUAACACUCAAUGAGUUUUAUGUUUGAUCAUGUUGCUUGUGAGAGAGGUUUUAGUCAACGGGUCUGAACCUUUCAGAUCCGUGUGUGCUUUACAAAUCUCUAUGUCAUCUCCUAGAUGCAGCUACCACGCUCUAUUUGGAGCUAUUCCAAACAACUGUUCUACUUGGAGCUAUUCUAAAUUAUUGCUCCAUUAUAUGUAUCCGGUCUCUCUACUCAGAGCUAUCUGGAUAGGUGUCAAGCUUGCAUCGUCGUAACCUUUAUGACGAACUCUUUUACCACCUCCAUAAUCGAGAAAAUUCCUUAGUCCACUAGUUACUAAGGAUAACUUUGAUCGCUGUCCUGUGAGCCAUUCUUGGAUCACUCUUGUACCCCUUGACUGACUCAUGGCAAGGCACACUUCAGGUGCGGUACACAGCAUAGCAUACUGAAGAGCCUACGUCUUAAGCAUAGGGGACGACCUUCGUCCUUUCUCUCUAUUCUGCCGUGGUCGAGCUUUAAGUCUUAACUUCGUACCUUACAACUCAGGCAAGAACUCCUUCUUUGACUGGUCCAUCUUGAACACCUUCAAGAUCAUGUCAAGGUAUGUGCUCAUUUGAAAUUAUUAUUAAGCAUUUUGAUCUAUCCUUAUAGAUCUUGAUGCUCAAUGUUCAAGUAGCUUAAUCCAGGCUUUCCAUUGAAAAACACUUUCAAAAUAACCCUAUAUGCUUUCCAGAAAUUCUACGUCAUUUCUGAUCAACAAUAUGUCAACAACAUAUACUCAUCAGAAAUUCUAUAGUGCUCCCACUCACUUCUUUGGAAAUACAAGUUUCUCAUAAACUUUGUACAAACCCAAAAUUUUUGAUCAUCAUCAAAGCAUACAUUCCAACUCCGAGAUGCUCACUCCAGUCGUUAGAAGGAUUGCUGGAGAUUUGCAUACUUAUUAGCAUCUUUCGGGAUUGACAAAACCUUCCGGUUGUAUCACAUACAACCUUUCCUCAUUAAAAUCGUCGAGGAAACAAUGUUUUGACAUCCUAUCUGCAAGAUUUCAUAAAUAAUGCAGUAAUCGCUAAUAUAAUUCCAACAGACUCUUAGCAUCGCUACGAGUGAGAAAAUCUCAUCGUAGUCAACUCCUUGAACUUGUCGGAAAACAUCUUAAUGACAAGUCGAGCUUUCUUAAUGGUGACAUUUACCAUCAUUGUCCGUCUUCCUUUUGAAAUCCAUCUGUACUCAUUAGCCUUACGACCAUCGAGCCGUUCUGCCAAAGUCUACACUUUGUUUUCAUACAUGGAUCCUCUCUCGGAUUUUAUGGCCUCAAGCCAUUUAUCGGAAUCCGGGCCCACCAUCGCUUCUCCAUAGCUCGUAGGUUCAUUGUUGUCUAGCAACAUGACCUUCAAGACAGGAUUAUGUACCACUCUGAAGUAGUACGCAUCCUUGUCAUCCUACGAGGUUUGGGAGUGACUUGAUCUGAAGUUUCAUGAUCAAUAUCAUAAGCUUCCACUUCAAUUGGUGUAGGUGCCACAGGAACAACUCCCUGUGCCCUGUCACACACUAGUUGAAGAGACGGUUCAAUAACCUCAUCAAGUCUCCACCAUCCUCCCACUCAAUUCUUUCGAGAGAAACUUUUCCUCGAGAAAGGACCCGAUUCUAGAAACAAUCCAUAUUGCUUUCGGAUCUGAAUUAGGAGGUAUACCCAACUGUUUUGGGUUUCCUAUGAAGAUGCAUUUUAUCCGCUUUGGGUUCGAGCUUAUCAACCUGAAACUUUUCAUAUAAGCGUCGCAGCCCCAAACUUUUAAGAAACGACAACUUAGGUUUCUCUAAACCAUAAUUCAUAUGGUGUCAUCUCAUCGGAAUUACGUGGUGCCCUAUUUAAAGUGAAUGUGGUUGUCUCUAAUGCCUAACCCAUGAACGAUAGUGGUAAUUCGAUAAGAGACAUCAUGGUACGCACCAUAUCCAAUAGGGUGCAACUAUGAUGUUCGGACACACCAUCACAUUAUGGUGUUCCAGGCGGUAUUAAUUGCAAAACAAUUUCCACAAUGUCUUAAUUGUGUGCCAAAACUCGUAACUCAGAUAUUCAUCUCUAUGAUCAUAUCAUAGACAUUUUAUCCUCUUGUCACAAUGAUCUGCUACUUCACUCUGAAAUUACUUGAACCAUUCAAUAAUUCAGACUUGUGUUUCAUCAAGUAAAUAUACUCAACAUUUACUCGAAUCAUCCGUGAAGUAAGAACAUAAUGAUAUUCACUGCAUGCCUCAGCACUCAUUCGACUGCACACAUCAAAAUGUGUUACUUCCAACAAGUUGCUAUCUUGUUCCAUCUUACUGAAAAUGAGGCUUUUCAGUCAUCUUGCCCAUGUGGUAUGAUUUGCAUAUCUCAAGUGAUUCAAAAUCAAGUGAGUCCGAACGAUCCAUUUGCAUGGAGUUUCUUCAUGCAUAUACACCAAUAGACAUGGUUCGCAUGUCUCAAACUUUUCAAAAACGAGUGAGUCCAAAGAUCCAUCAACAUGGAGCUUCUUCAUGCGUUUUAUACCAUUAUGACUUACAUGGCAGUGCCACAAGUAAGUGGUACUAUCAUUACUAUCUUAUAUCUUUUGGCAUGAAAAUGUGUAUCACUACGACCGAGAUUCAAUAAACCAUUCCUUUAGGUGCAAGACCAUUGAAGGUAUUAUUCAAAAAUAGAGUAACCAUUUUUCUCCUUAAAUGAAUAACCGUAUUGUGAUAGACAUAAUCCAAUCAUGUCUAUGCUCAACGCAAACACCAAUCUUGGUGGUAGAGGGAGCGUGCGAUGCUUGAUCAUAUCAACCUUGGAAACACUUCCAACAUAUAUCGUCAGCUCACCUUUAGCUAGUCUCCGUUUAUUCCGUAGCUUUUAUUUCGAGUUACUAACACUUAGCAACCGAACCGGUAUCCAAUACCCUGGUGCUACUAGGAGUACUAGUAAAGUACACAUUAACAUAAUGUAUAUCCAAUAUACUUCUAUCGACCUUGCCAGCCUUCUCAUCUACCAAGUAUCUAGGGUAAUGCUGCUCCAGUGGUUGUUCCCCUUAUUACAGAAGCACUUAGUCUCGGGUUUGGGUUCAACCUUGGGUUUCUUCACUAGAGCAGCAGCUGAAUUGCCGUUUCAUGAAGUAUCCCUUUGUUCCCUUGCCCUUCUUGAAACUAGUGGUUUCACCAACCAUCAACAAUUGAUGCUCCUUCUUGAUUUCUACUUUCGCGUUGUCAAACAUCAUGAAUAUUUCAAGGAUCAUCAUAUCUAUCCCUGAUAUGUUAUAGUUAAUCACGAAGCUCUAGCAGCUUGGUGGCAAUGACUUUGGGGAAACAUCACUAUCUCAUCUGGAGGAUCAACUCCCACUCGAUUCAAGUGAUUGUUGUGCUCAGACAAUCUGAGCACAAGCUCAACGAUUGAGCUUUUCUCCCUUAGUUUGCAGGCUAAGAAAAUCGUCGGAGGUCUUAUACCUCUUGACGUGGGCACGAGCCUGAAAUCCCAAUUUCAGCCCUCGAAACAUCUCAUAUGUUCCGCGACGUUUCGAAAACGUCUUUGGUGCCUCUACUUAAACCAUUUAAUUGAACUAUCACGUAGUUAUCAAAACGUGUAUGUCCGAUGUUCGCAACAUCGACAAACGACAUUGGGGUUCAGCACACUGAGCGGUGCAUUAAGGACAUAAGCUUUCUACUGAUCGCAUAAUCGCUACUAUCAACUUUCAACUAUAUUUUCUCUAGGAACUGUAGCAACGGUGCACAGUUAGGGGAGAACACUUCUUGAAAUUUUGUAAGGGAUCAUCUUAUUUACUACCGUCGUCCUAAGCAAACAAGAUGCAUAAACAUGAUAAACAUCACAUGCAAUCAAAUAGUGACAUGAUAUGGCCAAUAUCAUUUUGCUCCUUUUGAUCUUCAUCUUCGGGGCUCCAUGAUCAUCAUCGUCACCGGCACGACACCAUGAUCUCCAUCAUCAUGAUCUCCAUCAUCGUGUCUUCAUGAAGUUGUCACGCCAACGACUACUUCUACUUCUAUGACUAACGCGUUUAGCAAUAAAGUAAAGUAGUUUACAUGGCGUUCUUCAAUGACACGCAGGUCAUACAAUAAAUAAAGACAACUCCUAUGGCUCCUGCCGGUUGUCAUACUCAUCGACAUGCAAGUCGUGAAUCCUAUUACAAGAAUAUGAUCAAUCUCAUACAUCACAUAUCAUUCAUCACAUUCUUCUUGGCCAUAUCACAUCACAUAGCAUACCCUGCAAAAACAAGUUAGACGUCCUCUAAUUGUUGUUGCAUGUUUUACGUGGCUGCUAUGGGUUUCUAGCAAGAACGUUUCUUACCUAUGCAAGACCACAACGUGAUAUGCCAAUUGCUAUUUACCCUUCAUAAGGACCCUUUUCAUCGAAUCCGUUCCGACUAAAGUGGGAGAGACUGGCACCCGCUAGCCACCUUAUGCACCAAGUGCAUGUCAAUCGGUGGAACCUGUCUCACGUAAGAGUACGUGUAAGGUCGCUCCGGGCCGCUUCAUCCCACAAUACCGUCGAAACAAGAUUGGACUAGUAACGGUAAGCAUAUUGAACAACAUCAACGCCCACAACUACUUUGUGUUCUACUCGUGCAAAGAAUCUACGCAAUAGACCUAGCUCAUGAUGCCACUGUUGGGGAACGUAGCAGAAAUUCAAAAUUUUCCUACGUGUCACCAAGAUCUAUCUAUGGAGAGACCAGCAACGAGUAGAAAGAGAGUGCAUCUACAUACCCUUGUAGAUCGCUAAGCGGAAGCAUUCAAGUGAAUGGGGUUGAUGGAGUCGUACUCAUCGUGAUUCAAAUCACCGAUGAUCCUAGUGCCGAACGGACGGCACCUCCGCGUUCAACACACGUACAGCCCGGUGACGUCUCCCACGCCUUGAUCCAGCAAGGAGAGAGGGAGAGGUUGAGGAAGACUCCAUCCAACAGCAGCACAACGGCGUGGUGGUGGUGGAGGAGCGUGGCAAUCCAGCAGGGCUUCGCCAAGCACCAUGGGAGAGGAGGAGUAGGGAGAGAGGUAGGGCUGUGCCAGAACUUCGUGUGUAGCUCCCAUGCGCCUCCCCACUAUAUAUAGGGGUGGAGGGGCUGGUUUCUUGCCCUCCAAGUCCAUUGGGGCGUUGGCCAAGGUGGGAGGAAAGAAAUCUCAUUAUUUCCUUCCCCACCGAUUGUUAUCCCCCCUUUUUAGGGAUCUUGAUCUUAUCCCUUCGGGAUAUGAUCUUAUUCCUUCUAAGGGGGGAUCUUGGUGCGCCUUGACCAGGGGUGUGGGGCCUUGCCCCCACUACCCACGUCCAUGUGGGUCCCCCCAUGCAGGUGGGCCCCACUCCGGAACCUUCUAGAACCUUCCCGGUACAAUACCAAAAAAUCCUGAACAUUUUCCGAUGGCCAAAAUAGGACUUCCCAUAUAUAAAUCUUUACCUCCGGACCAUUCCGGAACUCCUCGUGACGUCCGGGAUCUCAUCCGGGACUCCGAACAACAUUCGGUAACCACAUACAAACUUCCUUUAUAACCCUAGCGUCAUCGAACCUUAAGUGUGUAGACCCUACGGGUUCGGGAGACAUGUAGACAUGACCGAGACGUUCUCCGGUCAAUAACCAACAGCGGGAUCUGGAUACCCAUGAUGGCUCCCACAUGUUCCACGAUGAUCUCAUCGGAUGAACCACGAUGUCAAGGACUUAAUCAAUCCCGUAUUCAAUUCCCUUUGUCUAUCGGUAUGUUACUUGCCCGAGAUUCGAUCGUCGGUAUCCAAUACCUUGUUCAAUCUCGUUACCGGCAAGUCACUUUACUCGUUCCGUAACACAUCAUCCCGUGAUCAACUCCUUGGUCACGUUGCGCAUAUGAUGAUGUCCUACCGAGUGGGCCUAGAGAUACCUCUCCGUUUACACAGAGUUUCUUCAUCUUGCCCACAUGGUUCGCAUGUCUCAAACUUUUCAAAAACGAGUGAGUCCAAAGAUCCAUCAACAUGGAGCUUCUUCAUGCGUUUUAUACCAUUAUGACUUACAUGGCAGUGCCACAAGUAAGUGGUACUAUCAUUACUAUCUUAUAUCUUUUGGCAUGAAAAUGUGUAUCACUACGACCGAGAUUCAAUAAACCAUUCCUUUAGGUGCAAGACCAUUGAAGGUAUUAUUCAAAAAUAGAGUAACCAUUAUUCUCCUUAAAUGAAUAACUGUAUUGCGAUAGACAUAAUCCAAUCAUGUCUAUGCUCAACGCAAACACCAAUCUCGGUGGUAGAGGGAGCGUGCGAUGCUUGAUCAUAUCAACCUUGGAAACACUUCCAACAUAUAUCGUCAGCUCACCUUUAGCUAGUCUCCAUUUAUUCCGUAGCUUUUAUUUCGAGUUACUAACACUUAGCAACCGAACCGGUAUCCAAUACCCUGGUGCUACUAGGAGUACUAGUAAAGUACACAUUAACAUAAUGUAUAUCCAAUAUACUUCUAUCGACCUUGCCAGCCUUCUCAUCUACCAAGUAUCUAGGGUAAUGCUGCUCCAGUGGUUGUUCCCCUUAUUACAGAAGCACUUAGUCUCGGGUUUGGGUUCAACCUUGGGUUUCUUCACUAGAGCAGCAGCUGAAUUGCCGUUUCAUGAAGUAUCCCUUUGUUCCCUUGCCCUUCUUGAAACUAGUGGUUUCACCAACCAUCAACAAUUGAUGCUCCUUCUUGAUUUCUACUUUCGCGGUGUCAAACAUCAUGAAUAUUUCAAGGAUCAUCAUAUCUAUCCCUGAUAUGUUAUAGUUAAUCACGAAGCUCUAGCAGCUUGGUGGCAAUGACUUUGGGGAAACAUCACUAUCUCAUCUGGAGGGUCAACUCCCACUCGAUUCAAGUGAUUGUUGUGCUCAGACAAUCUGAGCACAAGCUCAACGAUUGAGCUUUUCUCCCUUAGUUUGCAGGCUAAGAAAAUCGUCGGAGGUCUUAUACCUCUUGACGUGGGCACGAGCCUGAAAUCCCAAUUUCAGCCCUCGAAACAUCUCAUAUGUUCCGCGAUAUUUCGAAAACGUCUUUGGUGCCUCUACUUAAACCAUUUAAUUGAACUAUCACGUAGUUAUCAAAACGUGUAUGUCCGAUGUUCGCAACAUCGACAAACGACGUUGGGGUUCAGCACACUGAGCGGUGCAUUAAGGACAUAAGCUUUCUACUGAUCGCAUAAUCGCUACUAUCAACUUUCAACUAUAUUUUCUCUAGGAACAUAUCUAAACAGUGGAACUAAAGCGCGAGCUUACGACAUAAUUUGCAAAAGGUCUUUUGACUAUGUUCAGGAUAAUUAAGUUCAUCUUAUGAACUCCCACUUAGAUAGACAUCCCUCUGGUCAUCUAAGUGAUCACAUGAUCCGAGUCAACUAGGCCGUGUCCGAUCAUCACGUGAGACGGACUAGUCAUCAUCGGUGAACAUCUUCAUGUUGAUCGUAUCUACCAUACGACUCAUGCUCGACCUUUCGGUCUCCGUGUUCCGAGGCCAUGUCUGCACAUGCUAGGCUUGUCAAGUUAACCCUAAGUGUUUUUGCUGUGUAAAACUGUCUUACACCCGUUGUAUGUGAACGUAAGAAUCCAUCACACCCGAUCAUCACGUGGUGCUUAGAAGCGACGAACUGUAGCAACGGUGCACAGUUAGGGGAGAACACUUCUUGAAAUUUUGUAAGGGAUCAUCUUAUUUACUACCGUCGUCCUAAGCAAACAAGAUGCAUAAUCAUAAUGAACAUCACAUGCAAUUAUAUAGUUGUGACAUGAUAUGGCCAAUAUCAUAUAGCUCCAUUGAUCUUCAUCUUCGGGGCUCCAUGAUCAUCUUGUCACCGGCUUGACACCAUGAUCUCCAUCAUCAUGAUCUCCAUCAUCGUGUCUUCAUGAAGUUUUCACGCCAACGACUACUUCUACUUCUAUGGCUAACGCGUUUAGCAAUAAAGUAAAGUAAGUUACAUGGCGUUCUUCAAUGACACGUAGGUCAUACAAUAAAUAAAGACAACUCCUAUGGCUCCUGCCGGUUGUCAUACUCAUCGACAUGCAAGUCGUGAAUCCUAUUACAAGAACAUGAUCAAUCUCAUACAUCACAUAUCAUUCAUCACAUUCUUCUUGGCCAUAUCACAUCACAAAGCAUACCCUGCAAAAACAAGUUAGACGUCCUCUAAUUGUUGUUUGCAUGUUUUACGUGGCUGCUAUGGGUUUCUAGCAAGAACAUUUCUUACCUACGCAAAACCACAACGUGAUAUGUCAAUUGCUAUUUACCCUUCAUAAGGACCCUUUUCAUCGAAUCUGUUCCGACUAAAGUGGGAGAGACUGGCACCCGCUAGCCACCUUAUGCACCAAGUGCAUGUCAAUCGGUGGAACCUGUAUCACGUAAGAGUACAUGUAAGGUCGGUCCGGGCCGCUUCAUCCCACAAUACCGUCGAAACAAGAUUGGACUAGUAACGGUAAGCAUAUUGAACAACAUCAACGCCCACAACUACUUUGUGUUCUACUCGUGCAAAGAAUCUACGCAAUAGACCUAGCUCAUGAUGCCACUGUUGGGGAACGUAGCAGAAAUUCAAAAUUUUCCUACGUGUCACCAAGAUCUAUCUAUGGAGAGACUAGCAACGAGUAGAAAGAGAGUGCAUCUACAUACCCUUGUAGAUCGCUAAGCGGAAGCGUUCAAGUGAACGGGGUUGAUGGAGUCAUACUCGUCGUGAUUCAAAUCACCGAUGAUCCUAGUGCCGAACGGACGGCACCUCCGCGUUCAACACACGUACAGCCCGGUGACGUCUCCCACGCCUUGAUCCAGCAAGGAGAGAGGGAGAGGUUGAGGAAGACUCCAUCCAACAGCAGCACAAUGGCGUGGUGGUGGUGGAGGAGCGUGGCAAUCCAGCAGGGCUUCGCCAAGCACCAUGGGAGAGGAGGAGUAGGAAGAGAGGUAGGGCUGUGCCAGAACUUCGUGUUUAGCUCCCAUGCGCCUCCCCACUAUAUAUAGGGGUGGAGGGGCUGGUUUCUUGCCCUCCAAGUCCAUUGGGGCGUUGGCCAAGGUGGGAGGAAAGAAAUCUCAUUAUUUCCUUCCCCACCGAUUGUUAUCCCCCCUUUUUAGGGAUCUUGAUCUUAUUCCUUCUAAGGGGGGAUCUUGGUGCGCCUUGACCAGGGGUGUGGGGCCUUGCCCCCACUACCCACGUCCAUGUGGGUCCCCCCAUGCAGGUGGGCCCCACUCCAGAACCUUCUAGAACCUUCCCGGUACAAUACCGAAAAAUCCCGAACAUUUUCCGGUGGCCAAAAUAGGACUUCCCAUAUAUAAAUCUUUACCUCCGGACCAUUCCGGAACUCCUCGUGACGUCCGGGAUCUCAUCCGGGACUCCGAACAACAUUCGGUAACCACAUACAAACUUCCUUUAUAACCCUAGCGUCAUCGAACCUUAAGUGUGUAGACCCUACGGGUUCGGGAGACAUGUAGACAUGACCGAGACGUUCUCCGGUCAAUAACCAACAGCGGGAUCUGGAUACCCAUGAUGGCUCCCACAUGUUCCACGAUGAUCUCAUCGGAUGAACCACGAUGUCAAGGACUUAAUCAAUCCCGUAUUCAAUUCCAUUUGUCUAUCGGUAUGUUAACGUCGGUAUCCAAUACCUUGUUCAAUCUCGUUACCGGCAAGUCACUUUACUCGUUCCGUAACACAUCAUCCCGUGAUCAACUCCUUGGUCAAAUUGCGCAUAUGAUGAUGUCCUACCGAGUGGGCCCAGAGAUACCUCUCCGUUUACACGGAGUGCCAAAUCCCAGUCUCGAUCCGCAUAAAACAAUAGAUACUUUCGGAGAUACCUGUAGUGCACCUUUAUAGUCACCCAGUUACGUUGUGACGUUUGAUACACCCAAAGCACUCCUACGGUAUCCAGGAGUUACACGCUCUCAUGGUCGAAGGAAGAGAUACUUGACAUUGGCAAAGCUCUAGCAAAUGAACUACACGAUCUUUUGUGCUAGUCUUAGGAUUGGGUCUUGUCCAUCACAUCAUUCUCCUAAUGAUGUGAUCCCGUUAUCAACGACAUCCAAUGUCCAUAGCCAGGAAACCAUGACUAUCUGUUGAUCACAACGAGCUAGUCAACUAGAGGCUCACUAGGGACAUAUUGUGGUCUAUGUAUUCACACGUGUAUUACGAUUUCCGGAUAAUACAGUUAUAGCAUGAAUAAAAGACAAUUAUCAUGAACAAGGAAAUAUAAUAAUAAUACUUUGAUUAUUGCCUCUAGGGCAUAUUUCCAACAUUACCAUCUUUGUAUUGAGAUUGUCAUGGGAAUUGCACACCAUCUUCUGAACCCUUGAUACAGUCAUACUUCUUGCCAUCAUUAUUCAUUUCUCGGUUCCGUGUUGUCGCAACCAGAAUGCCGACAAGUGAAUCAUGAUGUGUGAAAUCAAUACUCCUAUCGACUCUGUUGCUUGGUAGUUAAAUGGACAAUAACCUCAUUCUUAGCGUGUUGGUUAUUGAAUCAUCACCCUAAGGAUUGAUCGUGCUACCUAGUCCUUAUUUCUGGUACACUCUUCGAUCCAUGAGUUAGGAUUGUGUCAAUCCCUCGCUCUUUUGAUCAUAUCGUCUUGCCCUGAAAAGCAAGAUUAUUCUCGAGCUUAGUAGCAUAUCGGUGGUUCAUGAUUUUCUGAAUAUCUUUUCGGAAGUAUCACCAGGUCGUCACUUGACCGCCAUGUUGAGUUCGUGAUCAAGUUGGUUUCUUAUGAACCAUCCCUUCUCCAAGAAUCUGUGUUGGAUACCCCUCAGCUAGUUGGUUAAGCUAAACAACAACUUGGAGAGUUGGAAGAUAAAAGCUUUGUCAAAUCUAGUUCAUUCUAAAGGGAUAUCUUGGUGGUUGUGUGUGUGUUGAAGAAAUAUGAUAUCUUCAUCGAUUGGUCCUCGUGAUUAGUUGUUGGAUCUAUUGUUUUGUCAAAACUUUGAUUUAAGUGUGGGCUAUCCUCAAAUCAAAUCAGAACCAACGAUGUUCGUAAUGUUGUCUUGCUCGUGGAUUUCCCUUGAGCAUACACCAUUAUAUCUUUUGGGUCUGACCAGUGCUAUCACUUGUUCCCAUAAUUAUGGAAUUCCUUAUUCAUGGAAACCUGGAUGAAUUGUUGUUGAGCCCAUCAGCAACAUUUUUAUCUUCUCCAUGAUUUUGUUGAACAUUAAGCUGGUGUUGGAAACUUUUAAAAGCAUCUCCUCAUGCUAGCUCAUGAAGCAUAUGUUCGGAUGUAAGAAGUGACUCUCCAGUUCAUGUGCAUUUGAUGCAAGUUGCCGCCGUGAAUUCGAGAAAGUCAAUGUUGCUUCCUUUAGAAUCAUUCCAAAUCAGUCAUGCAUAGUGCGAAGUAUUCUGUGGUCUGGAGACUUGCAACCUUCAUUCUAUAUGUGUCCCUAGCACACCAAGCCACUGGCUGAUUUGUUCAAGGAGAAGGAGUUCCUUCAUAAGAGCUAAUCAUGACUUAUGUUAGGACUUCAUUAUCCUCAAUGAUGGUUCCCCAACCUGAACUUGGUAGUAUUUUAUUAUAAGACUACCACGUGGUCACGCUUGUCUUGCACAACGUGUUCACAUGUUUGUAGCAAACCAGCUCAUAUUUUGGAGCUUACUACAUAGUCCAUUUCCCGAGGAUCUCGCAACAUCGUCUCGUCGAUUUGUGUUGAAAACUAUCUUUUUCUUUCUAGACUCGAUGAGUUUGGAAUAUCCUGACACCAACCAGCUCUGAAUCUCAGGCAGAUAUGAUGGUUGGAAUGUUUCCCAAGAACUAUAACAUUGGUCUCUGUGUAACCCAGUAAAGUGGAUGUCAUGGCUAACACACCUAGCCGGAAGACCUAUUAUUGUAGUAUCUUGAUUGAAGAAGUUGGCCACAUCCCCAUAAGGAUUUCGCAGGAUUUACCUCCGUAGCUAUUCCUUAUGGAUUCUUGAGUUUCCGAAGUCCGACCUGUUACUUGAUGUUCUAGAUACCAAACCAUUUCAAUGAAUGGGUUACGCUAGCACAUCAAGGAGAACAUUAGAAGCGGAGUGCUAAAUGUCUCUCGGUCAAUCAUCUAGAUUUUGUCCCCUUGGCCUCGCUAAGGUGAAAUCUGAGGAAGUAUUAUCUUCCUUUGCAUCUGCAUCCUCCACCAUUAUCCAUCAUGGUAGUAUGUUGUGUUGCCAGGAUCCUUGUCACGAAUAUUGGUAAAACCUUGAUGAAUAUGGAAAUGCUCAAGUUCUUGAGAGCACGUGCAAGCACUAGGAUUUAUCGUCGGCAUUAAUUGGGUUCCGCUCCCAGUUUCUUCGAUUUUGCCAUAACUUUUCUAACGAUGGAAUCACUCUCUUCUGUUGAGUUUCUCCCAGUUACCAGAAUCAUUCCCAGCAUUAGCAUUUUGUUCCUAGCUUGCACCGCCAUUGUGCCAUUCAACCAUGGACUACCCUUCUUAGUAAUUUCUGGUCAGAUCAUCUUCAAAAGUGGUCCUACCAUGGGUCCCAUCCAUUUUUGAUGAUAAGCAAAAGUCAUACAUUGCGUUGUCUUCAACAAGGUAGUCCACAUCAUCCAUCCUAGUUUGAGUAUGCCAUUUCUUCGAGCUCUUUCAAACGAUCAAAUGUAAAUUGCCUUAAGUUGGUAUGAAUAGUCUCAAUGAUCUAUGGAUCAAAAGUAAUCCUUUUUGCCACUUAAGGGAACAAUCCAACGAAUCACUUCUCCCAAGGUGCCCCGUUACGGGAUCAUGGCAAUUACUUCCUCGCCACCUUGACACCAUCCACCAUCUUUGUAAGCAUGGAAUUGUUGCCCACCAAAUCGAACCUCCGUCAUCUGUUCCACUGUCCGGACCCCGAUUCCAAGUCACAUCAAUCUAGCCGGUAACACCUCAUAUCACUUUGCGGCCUCGCACACGAUAUCCCACGGGUGUCGCCUUACCAUGGCCCGGGACCGUUUGCGCCUUUUGGCUCACGUAUAUGAUAGUGUUGCUAGCAUCCAUAUGACAGAGAACCCGGGCCGACAUGGCUAGUCGUGAACCCAACGCGGCACAGACCUAUGGAGACAGGCAUACAUGAAUCACAUCGAGCAUGUCGGUCAUCAGCGAGUGAUUCCGUGCUAUAGCACUGGGCUAACAGGACUCCGGAUGUCACCGCGUGACAUUUCCCCGAAGGGACAGACAUAGGAACGACGUGAAACACAUGCCGGCCAGUCAAGUGUCCUGAGCAGUAGUGCUGGGCUAGUAGGACUCCGGUGAACCGGGCUGUAGCGGACUACUAUGGCUCGAGGAACACUAGACUACAUUUCCCCAUAAGAAAGGCUGCCAAGGAUAAACAACUAGAUUGUCGGAUCCCACUCAUACCAAGCAUUUCAAUCAUACAUACAAUAUGCCCGAUAUGAGUACAUACAACAUGGCGUCACAACAAAACUCUACAACUCAAGUACUUUAUUUAAAGGCUCCAGAGAGCCAUACAUAACAUGUUCAUACAGAUAGGGGUCACAUGACCCGACACUCAAGUCAUACAAUCAUACAAGCACAUGCGGAAGCAACUAGUCUGAGUACAGACACUAGAAAGAAAGAAGGCUUCUCAAAGCCUGUCUAUCUACAUAGGGCCCUCCAUGGCCAGGAUCACCACCUGGGUGGCUAGUCACUCGUCGACGUCAAGGUCUACGUAGAACCCAUCGGAGGGGGCGGUGUUGUCGUCUGAAAACAGUAAUUAAGCAAACAUGAGUACAAAGGUACUCAGCAAGUCUUACAACAGAACCUACUAUACAUGCUCAUUCUCAAGAAGGUGGUGGGGUUGUUGCAGCAAGCCAGCUUUGACUCUUGGCUAAGCUAUCCUAUGGAACUCCACUAGUAAAUAGUUUUCGCACACGAGUCCACUACUCACCAACACAAUACUCCACCGGGGAUCCUCUCUCGUCAUCCUACGAGAGGGCCAUCCUCGGUACUCACACUUAUCUUGAGUCUUCUAGUAGUAACCAUUAACUUGUCUAUGAACUGUAUAGGCAACCAAGUAGUCCUUUACCGCGGACGCGGCUAUUCGAAUAGUUUUAUACCUUGCAGGGGUGUACUUCGUCACACAUGUUUCCACCACUUAGCGUCUGCACACGACAUGUGCUCGGCAGACUUCAAGCGAAAACCGACGUGGGUGUAGACCACGACCUGACUAACCUCACAAGUCUCUAGUCCAGGUUUAUCGCCUAUUCAGGUUCCAUCCGCAAGGAAAUCCGGCCGGGGUGUCCUCAACGGCCCCAAACGAUGUGUACAGAGUCCCAAGACGCCAAACGGGCACCCGGCAUACCCGGCCACAGUGUAUCUACCGCAUCAUAGCCCACCCCUAGGGUCAGCGCUACGCACGGCCGCCAACACAUAACCUACAAACACCAGAAACUAGUUGCAACUCUUGGACAGAGGGAGAGAGGGGUCAGUAAGUCAAGCGGGGUCAUAUUUUAGGGCCCAAUGUGUGGUAGUAGCUGAAUCUUAAAUCGCGCAUAUAGAUCUCAGUUCUUAUGGACGGUCUUAAUGAAACAACCCACCAUGUACUCCUACAUGGCCUCUCAUCGAUACCUUUACCAAACCAUGUUCAACACAUCCCUCACAUUACCGACAUAAUCAUAUCACUCUAGCCCAUCACCCAGAUGAACCAGACCUGACACAACUCUAAGCAUAGCAGGCAUAGCAAGGUAGGAAUCACAUACAUGGCUCAAUCAACUCCUACACAUGCUAGUGGGUUUCAUCUAGUUACUAUGGCAAUGACAGGUCAUGCAGAGGAUAAGGGUUCAACUACCGUAGCACACAGCAGUUUGAAUCGCAUUGUCUUAAUGCAGUAAACAAGAGCAGAAGCGAGAACAUGGGUUUGUAUCGGAAUGAUCAAUGGGUUGCUUUCCUGUUGUAGAGGUAGUAGGGUACUGCCCUUCAGACGAAUACUCGGGGUUAUCCUCGGAGGCAGAACCUACCACGAAAGACACACUGAACAUAAUCAACACAUGGCAAUAUGCAACAAUAUGAUGCAUGCUAUGACAUGGCAAGAUGAAAGUGUCUUGGCCUAAUGCAAGCUAAAACAGAAGGGGAUGAACUCAUUUGAAUCAAAGAUUCAAAUAUUAGCUCAUUAAACAUGGCCUUAUUAGUGCAUUACCUUAUUCUGCUUAAACAGCAAGGUUAACUUGUUUUGUCAUGCAUGAAACCAUUACAGAUGGAUAGAUUGAAUUUUUCUGAUCAUUUUUCAUAUAUAAAUCUUUGCAAUUGGAGCUAUGGUUGAUUUUCUAUGAUUUUUAGAAGUUUUGGAUAUUUUCUGGAAUUUCCUAUAUAAGAAUAAUUCCAGUAAUUGAAUUAAUGCGUUAGCAUGACAUAGGUGUGAUGUCAGCGGUCAACUGGGUCUGCCAGGUCAAACCUGACUGGUGGGCCCUCUCUGUCAGUGUCACAACUAGUUAACAGAAUUAGAUUAACACUAAUUAGCUGUCAGUGGGGCCUGGGCCCACAUGUCAGUGUCUAAACUAAUUGGAAUUAGUUAAAACUAAUCUUAAACUGAUUAGCAGACCGGCCCCACCUGUCAUAGACCCAGGGGGUCUACCUAGGCCCGCACAGGGAUCAAACUGAGUCAAACUCGCCGGCGGCUUGACGCCGGCGACGACAGACGCGACGGAGGGGCUCGGCUUUGCGUCUCCGGCGACCAAAUCGACGGCAGAGAGCAGCUACGUGACGUGGGGAGCGAGCCGCGUCGUUUGGUGGAGAAAGUGGAGCUCGGGGAGGCUUGGAACGAUGCCGGCGACGACCUUGGCGGUCGCCGGAGUUCAGGUGUGGAUGAACCCGAUGCUACGGGGCACGGCGAGGCGCGGGGAGUGGUGCGUUAGGCUCCUGGGAGCGCGUGGAAGACAAAGGCGUGCUCAGAUUCGAGCUUACGCGCCUGUGGCCACAGUAGCGACAUGGCCGGCAGAGCCGAGCUCUCGGCCUCGAUGGCAGAGGGGGUUGGAGGACGCGGACGAGUGCGGGGAAAGGGGGAAAUGGUGGCGGAGCUCACAGCGGUUGCAGGGGAGCGAUCGGCGAGCUCGGGGAAGGGAUGGAGCGAGCGGGGCGGCGAGGGGGAUCUCCGGUGGCCGGAGUUGAGAACGAGCUCGGUGUAGCGUCUCCGGGGCGAGCGAGCACACGGGGCUCGGCCUACUUGAUGCAGUCGACGACGGCGGAGCUUCCUGGCAUGUCGGGGCAGCAAAUGGACGGCGGUGGCUGCGGUGAAGCUUGUCGGUGGCGACGCCUGCGCUCGGCAGGAAGGGGGGAGAGAGCCAGAGAGGGAGAGAGGCCACGGGGAGAGUGGGAAGAAAGAGAGGGGGAGGUGGGGGUCGGCGUGGCACUCCUAGACGCCUCCAGGGCGUCGGCGGAAGCAGGAGGUGCCCGGCGUGUGGUCGCGGGCGCCGGCCACGCGCUCCUCGUCCUCCUGGCGGGAGGAGGACGACUGGCAAGGCCAGUCGACUGGGCCGAGCCAGGUGGGCUAGUGGGCUGCGCCUGGUAAGUUUCUCUCUCUCUCCUUUUUCUUCUUUGUUUUCUUUUAUCUAUUUUUCUGCAACUGUUGGGCUUUAUUAAAAAUACCUAGACAUCUUUAAAAAUCCUGAAAAUAAUCAGGGGCUCUGUUUAGAUUAUUCCCAACAGCCCACACUUAUUUCCAGAAUUAUUUGAGCAUUUAGAUUAUUUUAUAGCAUUUAAAUGCCCAAAUUCAAAUACUUAUGAUUUAAUUCAGAAAAUCCAGAAUGUCCUAGAAAAGAGUGCACCAUUUUUGCCAGGGGUUUUAGCCCAAUCCAGAAAUGAUGAACAUUUUGUGAAGGGCAUUUUGGGUUCAUUGAAAAUAAUUUAAGUAAACCCUAGUUGUUUCCAGGGGUGCUGGGGGUUCUGUCUUCCCCAUUUCAAAUUUAAGGGAAUUUAAAUAUGAUGCACACUCUAAUGCUUGAACUAGCUAGGGUGUGACAUCCACUCCAUUCCUCUAGAUAUGUGCUUCGUGUCUCAGCUCGAGAGAUGUUCUUAUGACUCACCCCGUGAGUUGAUCCUAAGUUGUUUGAUCUUCGAGAAGAUCGAUCCUCUUAGAGUUUUUCCCUUUCCUCUCUUUGUCAUGUUAGUUGGAUUUCUCAGAGCAAUACUUCGAGACAAUGAGGGUGAUCGAAUCAAAAAUCUUAUGAAGUGCACCCUGGAUCGUGAAGAUUGUGUUAGUUUGCGUUUUCCCCUUCCAUCUUACCCUAGGCUUGAAUCUCGGGACGAGAUUCUUGUUUAGUGGGGGUGAGUUGUCACAUCCCUAGUUCUUGUAUGACCUAGACUAGCUAGUCAUGCGUGCAUCAUGUUUAAAUUUCAAUGAAUUUGAAACGGGGACAUGUGAAAGCCUCAGAAAUCAUUUCUGAAAAUGACCAAGAUAAAAAUUUCUUCAAAUAGGUCCAAGAAAAUGUUCAUGUUUCUCCUUGAAAAUAUUGGCUAGAGGUAAAAUUCAAACCAAUAAUUUUAGGAGCUCAUAAAUAUUUAUGUUGGGCAUUUGGAGUUAAUGCAACAACUAUUUUGCAUUGGAUUUAUAUUUGCUAUAUAUUUAAAAUAAGUCCAAUAAUUCUGUAAAUUUGUGUGGGGCUCUGGAAUAGCUCAACUAGCCCACACAAUAUUUAUCAGAAGCAGUAAAUUUGAUUUAGUUUGAAAACUAAAUCAAAAACAAAUUACAGAAAAUAUAAAACAAACAGAAAAUAUAAAACAGAGCAGAAGGACUUACCUCCACCCACCUACGGCCCGCUACUGUAGCCUGCUGGCAGCCCAGCUGGCGGCCCAGCCCACCAGCGCCCCCUUGUCAUCUUCCUCCUCUGCCAGGAGGACAACCAGGUGCGUGGCGAGCGCCGACGCUGCUCUGGCCACCUCCUGCUUCCCUGGCCCCUUCUAGCGACGCCAUGGAGAUGCCCCGAAGACCCUGUCCCCUCUCCCUCACUCGCCGCUCUCUCUCCCCUCCCCUGGCUCUCUCCCUUUAGCUCACCCGAGCAAAGCCGUCGUCGCCGACUAGCGCUCGCGCGUCCACAGCCACCCCCUUGCUCCCCUGACGCGUCCGAGAGCUCUGCCACGUCGUCCUCAUCUUCUUCACCGAGUCACAGGAGCUGGGUCGCCCUGUGAUGCCGCCAACAUCAUCUUCUUCCUCGCUGGUCGCUGGAGAUCCUCCUUGCCGCCCCGACUGCUCCGGACCGUCUCCGAGCUCGCUGACCUCCUCGUCCGACUCGCCGUGAGCUUCUGACCCUGCCCAUCCCUCUCUUCUUCCCUGUAGGCCUCCGUAGCCACCAGACCGCCUACGCCUGAACCCGCCGCCACCUGCGCUCGCCGCCGACGCAACUUCGGCGACCAAAUGGUCCGCCUGACGCGUCCAACCCACUCACCGCAUCGCAUAGGCCCCCGCUAGCACCUCAGCUCGCUAGCUCGCGCACUGCAGCACUGCCCGCACCCACGCCCGAACUCCGGUGGCUGCAACCGAGCUCGCUGUCGUCGGCUCCGGCCACCAUAGGCCCGGUCUCCACCAUCACCCGAUGGGCGCCUGCAAGAGCUCUCCAACGAGCCCAAGAACGGCCUCGUCUGUGCCGUGUGGGCGUUUCCCGAGCUCCGCCGCCGUCUCGGGCCUCGCCGGCGUUGAGUCAUCGGCAGGUUUGUCCUGUUCGACCGGGGUUUGACCUCCCUAGGGUCAACACACGUGGGCCCCGCCCUGACUAGAUUAGUUUAGGACUAAUUACCUCCCCGCUGACUCUCACAGUGGGCCCAGUGGUUGUUAAUUUGAUUAGUUAGAUUUAAUUAACCCCGUUUGUUAAUUCUGUCACUGAUGUGUCGACCCCACUGGUCAGGUCUGACCUGGACCGGGUCAGUUGACCUGCUGCAUCACAAUGACGUAGUGCAGACGCCAUAACUCAUUUUCUGGAUUAAUUAUAAUUCAAAAAAUUCCAGAAAAUAGUUAAAACUUCUAAAAUUCAUAGUAAAUCAACCGUAGCUCCAAAUCAAAUAAAUUAUAUAUGAAAAAUGAUCAGAAAAAUCCAAUCUAUCCAUCUGUACUAGUUUCAUGCAUGUUGGAACAACUUAUGGCUGCUGUUUAGGCCAAAUCAUAUAAAUGGCAUUUAAACCCUCACAUAUGGAGUUUGAAUUUGAACCUAAGAUUCAAACCAACUCCAUUUAACAUGUUCCUAGUUACAUUAGAUCAAAACAUAGCAUAUUGACAUGCCAUGAUCAUGCAUCAUAUUGUGCAUUGCAUUGAUUGUGUUUUCCUUCUCUGUUGCCGGUAUUUGUCCCCUCUCGAUAGACGUGGUUCCGACGAUGAGUUCGAUGACACUGAUGAAGAGAUAUACUAUCUUCGGAAGUGCCAGGCAAGCAAAAAACCCUUGUUCAUUCUGAUACAAUGCCACUCUCUCACUCCUGCUCUCUUUUACUGCAUUAGGACAACAAUGAUUCAUCUGUUACUUGCUGCGGUAGUUGAACCCCUUAUCCUCUGCAUGACCUGUCAUUUCCACAGUAAAUGGAUGAAUCCCACUAGCAUGAGUAGGAGUUGUUUGAGCCCUGAUGUGCCUACUCAUUCAUGCUUGUUUGUCAUGCCUGCUAUUGCUUAGAGUUGUGUCAGGUCUGAUUCAUCGGGGAUGAAUUGGAAAGUUGUGAACAUGUCCUACUGUGUGUGAGCUAAGUGUGUUGAACACGAUUUGGUAAAGGUAUCGAUGAGAGGCCAUGUAGGAGUACAUGGUGGGUUGUUUCAUUGAAGCCGUCCUUAGGAACUGAGUUCUGUGUUUCUGAUCCAUGAAACAACUACUACCACACAUUGGGCCCUGAAAUAUGACCCCGCUCGACUUACUGACCCCUCUCGUCCUUUGUCCAGGAGUUGCAACUAGUUUCUGGUGUUUAUAGGAUAUGUGUUGGCGGCCGUGCGUAGCACUGACCCUAGGGGUGGGCUAUGAUGCGGUAGAUACACCAUGGCACGGUGUACCGGGCGCCCAUUUGGUGUCUCGGGAACCCUGCACACAUCGUUUGGGGCUGUGAGCGAAACUCCGGCCGGAUCUCCUCGCGGAUGGAACCCGAAUAGGCGAUAAAGCUGCACUAGAGACUUGUGCGGUUAGUCAGGUCGUGGUCUACACCCACGUCGGUUUUCGCUUGAAGUCUGCCGAGCACAUGUCAUGUGCAGAUGCUAAGUGGUGGAAACAUGUGUGACGAAGUACACCCCUGCAGGGUAUAAAACUAUUCGAAUAGCCGCUUCCGCGGUAAAGGACUUCUGGGUUUCCUAUAACAGUUCAUAGACAAGUGAAAGUGGAUACUCUAAAACUCACAAGAUAAGUGUGAGUGCUAUGGAUGGCCUUCUCGUAGGGAGAUGGGAGCAGAUCCAUAGUGGUGUAUUGAAUGUUGAAUAUGUGGACUCGUGUGCGCCACCUCAAAAGAGUUGCUUGCAGUCGUAGUUCAGGUUAGCCACUGAGUCAAAGCUGGCUUGCUGCAGUUAAACUCCACCACCCCCACCCCCCUUGUUGAUACCGAUGCAUAUGUAGCUAGUUCUGAUGUAAGUCUUGCUGAGUACUUUUGUACUCACAUUUGCUUAAUUUAUGUUUUGUAGAGAGACUUCAGUCUCGCUAGUAGUAUCACGUAGACUUCGACGUUUAGCCUGAUACCUCAGCUACGAUCUUGUGCCCUCGGCAGGAUCUGGUAGAUAGUCAGGCUUCUUAACCUUUUUCAUUUGUAGAUGUCUGUACUCAGACAUGUUAAGCUUCCGCAUGUGCUUGAAUUGUAUGCUAUGAUUCUUGGGUCAUGAGACCCAUGUUUGUAAUAUAUCGCUCCUCAGAGCCUAAUGAAUAAAUACUUGAGUCGUAGAGUUAUGUUGUGAUGCCAUGUUGUAUUUACACAUAUCGAGCAUAUUGUGUGUAUGAUUGAAAUGCUCGGAAUGUGUGGGAUCCGACAAUCUAGUUGUUUAUCCUUGGCAGCCUCUCUUAUGGGGAAAUGUAGUCUAGUGCUUCCAUGAGCCAUAGUAGUCCGCUACAGCCCGGUUCACCGGAGUCCUGCUAGCCCAGCACUACUGCUCGGGACACUUGACUGGCCGGCAUGUGUUUCACUUCGUUCCUAUGUAUGUCCCUUCGGGGAAAUGUCACGUGGUGACUUCCGGAGUCUUGCCUAGCCUGCUACAGCCCGGGUUCCCCGGAGUCCUGUUAGCCCAGUGCUACAGCCCAGAUUCACUCGCUGAUAACCGACAUGCUCGAUGUGAUUCAUGUAUGCAUGUCCCCAUACGUCUGUGCCGCUUUGGUUCACGACUAGCCAUGUCGGCCCGGGUUCUCUCUCAUAUGGAUGCUAGCGACACUAUCAUAUACGUGAGCCAAAAGGCGCAAACGGUCCCGGGCCAUGGUAAGGCGACACCCGUGGGGAUACCGUGCGUGAGGCCGCAAUGUGAUAUGAGGUGUUACCGGCUAGAUCGAUGUGACUUGGAAUCGGGGUCCUGACAAAGGUUGUGGAGGAGCAACUCCACCUUGCUGCUACAAUGUGUACGGC
rnacentral:lncRNA from 1 species